GACGAACGCUGGCGGCGUGCCUAAUACAUGCAAGUUGAGCGCUGAAGGUUGGUACUUGUACCAACUGGAUGAGCAGCGAACGGGUGAGUAACGCGUGGGGAAUCUGCCUUUGAGCGGGGGACAACAUUUGGAAACGAAUGCUAAUACCGCAUAAAAACUUUAAACACAAGUUUUAAGUUUGAAAGAUGCAAUUGCAUCACUCAAAGAUGAUCCCGCGUUGUAUUAGCUAGUUGGUGAGGUAAAGGCUCACCAAGGCGAUGAUACAUAGCCGACCUGAGCGGGUGAUUGGCCACAUUGGGACUGAGACACGGCCCAAACUCCUACGGGAGGCAGCAGUAGGGAAUCUUCGGCAAUGGACGAAAGUCUGACCGAGCAACGCCGCGGGAGUGAAGAAGGUUUUCGGAUCGUAAAACUCUGUUGGUAGAGAAGAACGUUGGUGAGAGUGGAAAGCUCAUCAAGUGACGGUAACUACCCAGAAAGGGACGGCUAACUACGUG
rnacentral:rRNA from 1 species